rnacentral:lncRNA from 1 species
GGGGCCACUGGGGCAGGGAAGAGACAGAUGUUGGAUUUUAGAGGAUCCAGUAAAGGAUGCUACUCUUCUCCAUCCAAGUUUGAAAGCGACUGAGAGAGACACACAACAGUCAGACAGAGAGAGACGAAAAUAUUUUCCUGUGACUUAAGAGCAAUGGCCAAGUUGGCUUCCUGCUAUCCUACCCUUGAACUUGACAUUCACCCACUGAAAAUGUCCAGUCCCUGGCUCAGUGGGGAUACCAGAGGCUGCUAACUGCCAGGCAGCAAUAGACCAAUAAAGGCUUCCAAAAGAGAUGGCGCACUGGGCUGGGCAUGCCCAGGAGCUCCUCCCAAGCUUGGCCAUCAG